GGCAUCCACACUGCGGGUUCUGGAUGGAUUAUGAAGAUUUCAGAAAGCCUAAAGGAACCAAUGUAUUUCUCUAUAAUAAGGCUGUACAGAUCAACCACAGUAUGAAGGAGCAGAGGUUAGAGAUGGAUGGAACUUGCCUUACAGGAAGAUGGACAAAUGGACUGGACAGUGCAAAUGGAAGAGAGACACCUGUAAUCCUGCUGAUGCUCAUGUGCUGAAAACUAUGACCGUACUCAAUAAAGAAGGAGACACAGUGUUACAGCUCUUUUGGAAUUAGUCUAGCAGAUUUCUCAGUUUUCACUGGAAACCCUUAAAAAGGUAGAGGAGAGAGAGGUGCAUGGAAGAGUGAGCACAAGAAAGGAGGCAUCUUACAGUUUAUAAACAUCUGAACACUGGAGCUCUAUCAAGAUUCUGUUUCAAUCUCUAUUUGACCACAUACGUGCUCUUUCAAAGUUCUGUGUUUGAAGUUAUGUUAGUAACAACUGAUGCCCAUCCUGCAAUGACUAAUCCAAUUCUCAGUGCAGCUCUCUGAAAUAGUUUUGCUUUCUCUCUCUAGGUCUGUUCUAUACUCCUAACUCUCCAGGAGUUUACAAGGAAUAAAAUCUCUUCCAAAAGCUUUCUGUUGCAACAACUGGACCAUACUGAAAGCUGAGGCCCACAAUUGCAAUCUAGGUUAGCAGGUAAUCAUUGUUGGUGAGGUCCUCCCUUUCCCCAGGCUCGUGUUUGUAUUGGGGAGCAGGAAAUUUUUGCUAGAGCAGCACUGCCAUCUCUCUACACUCCACCUGAUUGGUGGGAUGGACCAGAGAAAUGGACAUUCCCAACACAGUCCCUCCUUUCACAUCUGCUCACCUGCCUAGAGGAUACUUUCCACCAUGCAUACUGGGCUCUGCACCAAGGAUUCAGCAGUGAUGAAGAGGAAACUUGAACCCUUCUCUCCAGGAGCUGACACCAUUUAGUGAGGAGCCAGACAAAUAAAUAAAGAAGGAAAUGCCAUUAAACGUACAGGAUGACUAUCACAGUGGUAAGAGGAAUGAGGGAACACUCUGGGAGCAUAAAGGAGGUGCAUCUAACCAAUUAUCAAAUGCAUCAUCAUGUAUCAAGUCAGAAAGAUUAGAUUUCAUAAACCUUGCCUCUAAGCACCAACCUGAUGGUCACUCUGACAACACAUAUAUUGAGCAUCCUCUCUAGGUCAGACCUGGGCUAGGAGCUGGGGGGAUAUAAGGAAGACUAAGACAUAGCCCAUGGUCUUAAGGAGCUCCCAGUCUAAUGGAGAAAACCUCCAAAUAAACUAACACUUUCAGCAUAGUGCAGAGAUGGGGUCAUGCAAAAAGAACUAUAGAAAAACAGAGGUGGGGCCCCUAACACAGUGUGCAGGUCAGAGAAGGCUACUCCAAGGAGAUUAGUCCUGAGCUGGUUCUGAAGGGAUGAAUAGAGCUUAGCUGCUUGAAAAAUAUGGACAAGGUCAGUCCAGACAGAGGGAACUUCAUGGUCAAGAGUAUGGAGAUGAGCCUGAGCAUGGAGGUUGGGGAAUGAGGCUUGAGCAAUAAGCAGGGGUCAGAGAAUGAAGGACCUUAUAUGCCAUUCUGGGUAUAACUGGAAAACUUGGACUUGAUCCUGUGUAAAAUCAAAUCAGAUGUUGUGAGCCAGUGGGGGGCAAUUCCAAAGACAGAGGUAUAAGCCAGAGGGUGCCGGGCUAUUACGGUCUAAGGGAGAAAUGAUGACGGCCUGAGCUAGGCCAGUAAGAGCAGCGAAAGAGAGCAGAGAGACACAGAGCUGUUUGGGAGGUAGAUGGAUGAGUGAUUGAUCGGCUGUGUGGCUAAGGCAGAGGAAGGAGUUUAUGAUGACUUCCAGUUUUCCAGUUUGUGUCCUGCCAGAAUUGGAGAUACAGAAGGAGCAGGGGUAGCAGAGGCAGGAAGGGAAGAAUGAGCUCGAUUUUGGACAUGUCAAAUUUGGGGUCCUUCUGGGUCAUCCUGGUAUGAGUGGCUCCCAAAGAAAGUGAUUUUGCAGAAGAAGUGAUGCUUGCUACUUGCUCUCCUUUACUGAUAUAAAUUUGAAGAGGGGACAUAUAAUCUGGCAAUUUCAAAUAGACAUAGAAAAGACAUCAAAGCAGCCAGGAACCAAGCAUUAAGAACUCUCUCAUAUAGAGAGUGAGCAAAUAAACCUCAUCAGACCAGCAGACUCUCCCAACAUACCCUGCAUUUCCCUGUUUGAUGUUCCUGCUAUUCCAGUGCUGAUGUCUAAGUAACUGUACCACGAAGUACGCUGGGAAGGAGAACAAAUGGCCAAAAUUGUCUCAAGAUCCCCUUUUCUUUUGACAUGCACUAUGACUUGUGGCAAAUGGAAAAUAAAUAAACCCAAACAUAAAAGAAGAAUUGCAGGCCCAUGUUCUUCUCAAGUGACUUUUAAGGGGAAGCAAAUGGAAAUGUUCACUUUGCUCUUAUUUGUAUCACUUUUUAAAAUAACUUUAUUGCUGUAGAAUUCACAUACUAUACAAUAAAAUCCUCUGAUGUCACUCCUAAGAUGGUAUGGCUGUGAGCAUGAGCACAGUCACCCUGAGAUGAUAGUGGUUUCAGCAUGGCUCUGUUUGUCUUUUUCCUUGAUACCUCUGUUAAGUUGUCUGCCUCCUUCUAUUAAACUACACGAAUU